UUCAUAAAACCAUUUUUUCUUUAGGGUUGAUUCACCAUCUUCGAACAACUUUCCGUUCUUCCUCUCCACCACUUUGCUUCCAUCUUCGAUAAAGUCUGCACGCCACCUCGUUCGCUGUAUUCGCAACGCAUCACCAAAAUCGACGUCAGGGCCGACAGUCGCCAACACUUCCAGCCAUCACCGUCAGUGUCGCUGUUAGAGAUGUCGUCGACAACGACACAAUUUCUCGUAGUCUUCCCCUUCCCUCGAGAUCGCGUGUGAAGCUUCUCUAAACUUGCGUUUCUACUCAUGGACUAGCUACGAGAUACUUUCUUGUUGUUUAGCAUUCAAAAGGAAUCAAGCAGGCCUAUCCUCUGGUGAGUCCUUGAGCACAAGUUAUAGUUUCUCCAUUUUCAGCUUGUGCUUUGGUAUUGAGGCCAUAAACUAUUGAAUGUGAUGACAAGACACAAAUGAAAAUGGUAGACGAAGCAACUAUGUCAUCAAGGUUAUUUUCUGGAGGAGUUAGUGAUGACAAGGCUAACAGGAGUGGAAGGAGUAUGGUUCUUCCUUUUCAACCUUUAUCCUUCACUUUUGAUGAGAUCAAAUAUUCUAUAGAUAUUCCACAUGUACUUUCACUACACCAUUUAUUGUUUUUAGUAACAUUUUCUUAGUUACGUUUGUUUAAAAUGUUAAAAUAGAUAAAUUUCUUCGUACUAUUGUAACAUUUUUCAUAUAAAUGUUACUAAAUGUUAAAAUUAACUAUUUUUUUCCUUUUUUUUGUUACUUUAUUUAAUAUGUUUUUGUUACUUGUUUCAUUUACGAAAUUUUCUUUUCCUUCCCUUUGCUCAAAAGACCUCAAACUCUGUAUUCUUUCUUCAACCCUCCUUCCAAAAGAGUUUGAUCUCCUAAACCAAAGUUAGAUUCUAAAAUACGUGAUCGAUUGGGUGUUGUUCUUCCACAACUACAAUAUUCCUAAAUCCUAUUUCAAUUUCACAAAAAAAAUUCUUCUAUCCAGCAUCGCAUUGAAGCGAGAUCGAGGAUCGUCCUCUUUGUCCUAUCUGACUUCGAGGGUUUCUUCCAUCAUCUUCAACCUCCACAAUGUACACUAGGAGCAAGAGAGGCGUCGCACCAAACAUCACCGUCUGUGCCAUUGUUAGAGAUGUCACUAGCAACGACAUAAGUUAUCGUCUUCUUCCACCAUCCUUCAAAAUCUCGUGUAAGGCUUCUCUUCUUCCUCCACUUCAAACUUGUGUCUCUAAUCUUGGACCAGCCAUGAGAGACCAAACUUCAGCUUCAGUGUGUGAAGAUUGCACUAAGUCUCGAUCAAACAUUGUCAUUCUGAAUAUGAUUCUCGGUACAUGCUUUAUUUCAUUUUUCUUUUUGAAAUUUUUUGUUUGUUCCCUUAAUUUAUGAACUUCUCAAUGCUUCCUGUUCUUGUCGUUGAUGACAACCUCGUUUAUAGUAUUGGGUCUUGGAUGAAGAGACCAGUUCUCUCGGGUUGGAUGUAAGUGAAUUAUGCUAUUUAUGCUCCAUACUUUCUACUUAUGCUUCAUAAUUCUCUUCCUUGUUUCAUGGUUAUUUAUGGCGUGAAAACUUUGCAUAUAUAUUGGGAUGACAACAUACUAUGAAAAAAUAAUUUACUUCCCACUUGGUUGGUAGCUAUCUUGCGCACUAUGUUACAGGCUAAACUAACCUAGUUGCUGAUUUUUUUAUAAAAUGGUUCCUUUAUAUAGCUUUGUCCCUUCUUCAAGUUGCUGCUAUACACACAUACAAUCAUGCAUGUGUUCCUAGCAAUUGCUGAUAAUUUUGCUCUUUUUUAUUCCACUCUAUUGGUUGGAAACUGACAAAACACAAGUGUUAUAAGUUUCAGUUAAGGAGAAAACUAAGUUAAAAAAAUAACAAUAAUAUAUAGCUAACAUUAUUUUUAUGGUUAGGUAACAGGGUAGAAGGAUAGUCAAACUUCACUUUUUUCUGAGUUUUUUGUGCUUUCGAUGUAAUUAUUAGUUGUGUGAAUGUAGGUAUAAUAUGAUAGAACAAGGGCACAUUUGGAAAAAGUUUUCUUUCUUUGACUAAGUCAAGAUCAACAGAAGAAAUGAGGGGUGAGUUUGUCUUUGGUGGUCUUGCUUGGUCCAAAAGAGGGUGAUGAUUAGUGAUUCGUUGAACCACAACUCAAUUGUUAGUGGUGCACGAGGAUCAAGAGCAAUUAUUUGUUUUUCAACACAAUGGUGAGUACAAUUCUUUGUUGUAUACUAAAAGAAGUUGAGUUAGUCUUGGAGUCCCUAGCUUUUCAAUUUCACACACUGUUACAAAAGGAAAGAACAUUAUUUUAAGUUGUAGUUUGGGAUUCAUCCUAAAUAUGUAUAUGAUAGUUAAAUUUUAGUGACCUAAUUAAUGCUAACAGAUUUGAACAGAAAGGGGAACUUAACUUGCUUAAGAUUAAUUAUGUUUAUAUGUAGUUUGAGCACUUGGUUAACUGUUGAGUUAUUUUUUGGUUUCUCUCUGUUUGUGUUAAUAUGGUGUGCUCUCUAUUUGCAUGAUAUUAUGAAUGGAUUCAUAAUAUGAAUGGAUUUAUAAUAUGAAUGGAUUCCUAUUUCUUAAGAAAUUGACAAGUAGAAAACCUAGACUUUUCUUAUUGUUUAGAAAUUUUGCUCUUUUGAGUGCAUAUAUAGAAACCUAAGCAUAUGAGAUGUAUUGAAAUUCAAGGUUCAAUAACUUUUAACUAUGGAAUUUAUCGUGAACAUAGAUGGAAGAUAUUUUAAAUUUUAGUAUCUUAGACCGGAUGUCUUGUGAACAAGUUUACAAGGUUGUUCGAAUUUAGAAUUCCCUGUGCCACGUGCCUCCAUGUUCUUUUCCGUUUUUGAUGUUAAAUGUUGCGAAAGGGAAUAAAACAGAGCAUAAUAUGGUGGUGGGAUGGGAACAUAAUAAAGGUUGUUGUUUAGUUUGGCAUUGUAAGGUAGGAACUAGUUUGAAUAAUUAUUCAAUAAAUGUGUUCUAAGAUGAGAUUUAUGUACAAUGAAUUUUAUGCUUUUAGAAUAUUUCUUCUCUGAUCAAUGUAUAUUUAGUUUUAGGCCUAUAGAAAUGGCCACCAUUGACUGAGGAUCUUCGUUGGAUUUUUCUUCUGUUAUUUUUUGGCAGAUAAUCAAGUAGAACCGCCUUCAAGUUUAAUUUUGUAUCCUCUCUCAUAUUGGACAUACAAGGACAACUCUAGUUAUAUUCCAGGGAACAAGUUAAACUGAAAUCAUGUCUCUUGAUUUCUCCAUUUCUGAUAAUGAAGGAACAAUAGAAUGUUAUGAAAACACUUUCAUGGAGAUGGAAAACCUUAAAAUACUAUUUAAUAGAAAUGUUAAAUUUCUUGGUUCUCACCGCUGAUGUAUGGACACAAUGCUAUAAUUGUGAAUGAAAUUUCUUGGUCAUAGUUGGAGAAAGGUAACGCACUUUGUUUGCAAUGGUUAAUAUAUUUUGUUAUUUGGAUCCUUUUAUAUAACCACAAGCAUAAUUUGUUCUCAUUGAAUAUGUUUCUUCUGCAACAUUCAACUGGUUUGCCAAAUUUUCAUCUAAAAGUUAGAAAACAUUUUGUAACAAUUUUAAAAUGUUAAAAAAAGGCAAUUUGUAACAUUUUUUAAUUGUUACAAAACAAGAUAAUUAGUUACAUUUAUUUAAAUGUUAGAGAAUAUAUAAGUACAAUUUGUUUAAAUGUUAGGAAAUGUAGAGGUAACAUUUUUAAAGUGUUACAAAAAUAUUAAAUUCGUAACAUUUUUCUAAUGUUAGUAAAGAUACUGAUUAGUAACAUUUUUAAAAGUGAUGCUAAUAAUACAUAAAAAUGUUGCUAAAACCUUUUGGUAACAUGUACUGUACCACAUCUAGCCGGUCUCGCUGGCACAUCAGCACAUAUUAUCCUUCAUCGACAUACUUAAUCGGCAAAGGCUAGGGGACUGCUGUACCACAUCUAGCCAACUCAACCAAAUAAUAAUAAUAAAUGAUCACCACAUCUAUACGGAAAAUGAUUUAGGGUAGCCGGCCUAGGUAGACCUAGGCCUAACCGGCCUAAAUCGAUAACCCAAGCUGUUAAAGGAACAGCCAGCCUAGGACGACAUGCGAACAAUGACGACAUACACCGCUAGAGAAGUAAUCGGACUACACCGACCACUCUAAAAGACUUGACGAAACCAAAACACCUAACAAUCAGUAAGCCCACGAUAAUCAGGACUAAGGGCUUGGGCUAGGACCUAGGCCCACAUGUGGCCCAAACCAAGGCCUAGCCCAUGGAAUGGUCAGACAUAAUUAAUAAGCUAUAAAUAUGCGUGGACCUCAGCAAUUAAAGAUAUGCAUUCAUUACUUCAUUAAUUACCUGAUUUGACUUUCUAAGAGCUUUCGCUGACUUAAACUUCAGAGUCCCUUUUGCAGGUAACCCCUUCCGGGUCCAAGCAUACAUAUGUAAACUGGGAAGAGGCCUACUGAAAAGAUAACGGACUAUAUGGGUAAGGUGACACUUGUACCUAAUUUAUCUUAUUUGUUCUCUGGAGGAACAUGUACUAUACACAACAUGUGUAUUAAUGUUUCCUUUGCAGAUGAUAACAUUUUUUUAGGCUUUAGCAACAUUUUUUAAAUGUGAUUAAAACUAAUAUGUCUAGUACUGAUUAUUCGGCUUAACUUGGUUCCAUAACUAAAAUAACCAAAUUAUCAUAGGAUAGUGAGAAAAAAAAA